ACCGGGACGUAACUUCCGGGAAGGGCUUACUUGCAAGGCAGACACGGAAGUGCUGGGAGGCGCCGGGAGCCGGUUCGGUUGCGGGUGUCUCUGGCCCUGCGGUCAGCCCUGGGAACGUCCCGGAGAGCUAGAUUCCUAGAGGCCCGAUUCCGCUAGCCCGGAACAGACAAAGCCAGCGCUCCCGCCCGCUCCCCGACUUAGGAUCCGAUGCCGGCAGCGUCCUGGGGCCCCCGUAGCGGGGCUGGACCAUGAGCCUGCUGGACGGCCUCGCCUCCUCGCCGCGGGCUCCGCUGCAGUCCAGCAAGGCCAGGAUGAAAAAGCUCCCGAAGAAGAGCCAGAAUGAGAAGUACCGGCUGAAGUACCUGCGGCUGCGCAAAGCGGCCAAGGCCACGGUGUUUGAAAAUGCUGCUAUUUGUGAUGAAAUUGCUCGUCUUGAGGAAAAAUUUCUUAAAGCAAAAGAAGAAAGAAGGUACUUGCUAAAGAAGCUCCUCCAGCUUCAGGCUCUAACUGAAGGGGAAGUACAGGCUGCAGCUCCUUCCCACAGUUCCAGUUUGCCCCUGACUUAUGGUGUGGCCAGCUCUGUGGGAACUAUACAGGGAGCUGGGCCUAUUUCAGGGCCCAGCACUGGGGCUGAGGAACCAUUUGGGAAGAAAACUAAGAAGGAGAAAAAAGAAAAAGGCAAAGAGAACAACAAACUGGAAGCCCCAAAGUGGUUCUAAAGGCUACCACAGGAAACUGGACUUCUAAAUACUUCAGUGACCUCAAUCCCAGGUUGGGGGAAUGUUUUUUAUAGAUCAUCACCGACCGACCUGGCUUUCAUGAUGAGAGUGCCAUCUACCCCGUGGGCUAUUGCAGUACUCGAAUAUAUGCCAGCAUGAAGUGCCCAGACCAGAAGUGUCUAUAUACCUGUCAGAUCAAGGAUGGUGGUGUGCAGCCUCAGUUUGAAAUUGUUCCUGAAGAUGACCCCCAGAAUGCCAUUGUCAGCUCUUCCGCAGAUGCUUGUCAUGCAGAACUGCUCAGGACUAUAAGCGCUACUAUGGGGAAACUAAUGCCUAACCUGCUUCCAGCUGGAGCUGACUUUUUUGGAUUUUCUCAUCCAGCCAUCCACAACCUGAUCCAGAGCUGUCCAGGAGCUCGAAAAUGCAUCAAUUACCAGUGGGUGAAAUUUGAUGUGUGCAAACCUGGAGAUGGGCAGCUACCUGAGGGGCUGCCGGAGAAUGAUGCAGCUAUGAGCUUUGAAGCCUUUCAGAGACAGAUCUUUGAUGAAGAUCAGAAUGAUCCCCUUCUGCCAGGAUCCUUGGACCUCCCAGAGCUUCACCCUGCAGCCUUUGUGUCUUCUUACCAGCCCAUGUACCUGACACAUGAACCCUUGGUAGAUACUCACCUGCAGCACUUGAAGUCUCCAUCACAGGGUAGCCCAAUUCAGUCUUCAGAUUGAACAAGAAGGGAUCAGAUGCCACAUCAUUUUUGUCGUGAUUAAUUUAACUUAAACUAAAAUUUUGGGUAUAUGGAAGAAGGCAGCAAUUGAGAAGUAAAGAAGAUAUUAACGUAUUUCAUCAUGGAGGGUCCUGUGGUGAUGGUUUUCCCUGGGAAAACCUUCAGCUGCUUUAUUUUUAGUAAUAAAUUUCUCUUUGU
rnacentral:sRNA from 1 species